rnacentral:rRNA from 1 species
ACACGUGUUACAAUGGCAGGUACAGAGGGGUGCUACCGGGUGACCGGAUGCCGAUCUCGAAAACCUGUCCCAGUUCGGACUGGAGUCUGCAACCCGACUCCACGAAGUUGGAUUCGCUAGUAAUCGCGCAUCAGCCAUGGCGCGGUGAAUACGUUCCCGGGCCUUGUACACACCCGCCCGUCAAGCCAUGGGAGCCGGGGGCGCCUGAAGUCCGGGACCGCGAGGACCGGCCUAGGGCGAAACUGGUGACUGGGGCUAAGUCGUAACAAGGUACC